ACGCUCCGAGCCACACACACUCUCCGAGUGAGGCAGAUCACACACACACACACAGUCAUCAUGUCCAGUGAUAAGUCCAAGGCUGCCUCCCAGACCGACGGGAAGGCUGCCCAGAGCAAGAAGUCCGAGAUGGGCACGAUGUCCUACAAGAUGUUUGUGUUCGACCAGGAGAACUUCCAGGGUCGCAUGGUUGAGAUCAGCAACGAGUGCAUGAACGUGUGUGAGAUGGGCAUGGACCGCGUCCGCUCCCUCCGCGUUGAGUGUGGACCCUUCGUGGGCUUCGAGCAGAUGAACUUAUGUGGUGAGCACUACAUCCUAGAGAAGGGAGAGUACCCCCGUUGGGACUCUUGGAGCAACUGCCAGAAGAACGACUACCUGCUGUCCUUCAGGCCCGUCCGCAUGGACCCAGAGAAACACAAGAUCUGCCUGUACGAGGUUGGAGAGUUCAAGGGUCGUAAGAUGGAAAUCAUGGACGAUGACGUUCCCUCUCUGUUCUCCUACGGCUUCACCGACAGGGUCGGCAGCAUCAUGGUCAGCUGCGGAACCUGGGUGGGUUACCAGUUCCCUGGAUACCGUGGCUCCCAGUACCUGCUGGAGAAGGGCGACUUCAAACACUUCAACGAGUACGGCGCCCGCCACCCCCAGUUCCAGUCCGUGAGGCGUAUCCGUGACAUGCAGUGGCACCAGCAGGGAUGCUACACUAUGGCCAGCAAGUGAGGCUCAGGGAAGGAGAGAAAGAGAAAGAGCAGAAGAGAGGGAGAGGGGCGGAGGAAGAGAGAGAGAGGGGGAGAGAUGCCUGAGGCCUUGCCGAACCCCUGGCUGAAGCCAACCAUCUGAAACAGCAAGGAAGAGGGACCGCCUGGCAAGGGAACACCUGAAAAUCAGACAACCCCUCCAUCACUCUCUAUCUCUACUCCUCUCUUUCUCUCCUGUGGUCCGACCUUGCCCCCCCCCCCCCCCCCCCCCCCCAUCCCACAUUCCUUCUUUCCAUUGCAGCACCAAAGAGGGAACGAUGAUGAUUCUCGUCUCAGGGUAUGAUGUACCAUGGGAAAAGGAUCUUCUAUAUCCUCCCCCCACUUCCUGACCCUGUGUAUCGCACACCCUCUCUGCUGUACAGAAUCCUGGCCAACUUUUCAAUAAAAUGGAAAAUCUUGAUUUCAAAA